UACGUAGGUGGCAAGCGUUGUCCGGAUUUACUGGGCGUAAAGGGCGUGCAGGCGGUUUGUUAAGUUCAGGGUGAAAGCUCCCGGCUCAACUGGGAGAGGUCCUUGGAUACUGGCAGACUUGAGGAGGGUAGAGGAGAGUGGAAUUCCAGGUGUAGCGGUGAAAUGCGUAGAUAUCUGGAGGAACACCGGUGGCGAAGGCGGCAUCCUGGACCGGCAUUGACGCUGAGGCGCGAAAGCUAGGGGAGCAAACGGG
rnacentral:rRNA from 1 species